GCGGACGGGUGAGUAACACGUGGAUAACCUACCUAUAAGACUGGGAUAACUUCGGGAAACCGGAGCUAAUACCGGAUAACAUAUUGAACCGCAUGGUUCAAUAGUGAAAGGCGGCUUUGCUGUCACUUAUAGAUGGAUCCGCGCCGUAUUAGCUAGUUGGUAAGGUAACGGCUUACCAAGGCAACGAUACGUAGCCGACCUGAGAGGGUGAUCGGCCACACUGGAACUGAGACACGGUCCAGACUCCUACGGGAGGCAGCAGUAGGGAAUCUUCCGCAAUGGGCGAAAGCCUGACGGAGCAACGCCGCGUGAGUGAUGAAGGUCUUCGGAUCGUAAAACUCUGUUAUCAGGGAAGAACAAAUGUGUAAGUAACUGUGCACAUCUUGACGGUACCUGAUCAGAAAGCCACGGCUAACUACGUGCCAGCAGCCGCGGUAAUACGUAGGUGGCAAGCGUUAUCCGGAAUUAUUGGGCGUAAAGCGCGCGUAGGCGGUUUUUUAAGUCUGAUGUGAAAGCCCACGGCUCAACCGUGGAGGGUCAUUGGAAACUGGAAAACUUGAGUGCAGAAGAGGAAAGUGGAAUUCCAUGUGUAGCGGUGAAAUGCGCAGAGAUAUGGAGGAACACCAGUGGCGAAGGCGACUUUCUGGUCUGUAACUGACGCUGAUGUGCGAAAGCGUGGGGAUCAAACAGGAUUAGAUACCCUGGUAGUCCACGCCGUAAACGAUGAGUGCUAAGUGUUAGGGGGUUUCCGCCCCUUAGUGCUGCAGCUAACGCAUUAAGCACUCCGCCUGGGGAGUACGACCGCAAGGUUGAAACUCAAAGGAAUUGACGGGGACCCGCACAAGCGGUGGAGCAUGUGGUUUAAUUCGAAGCAACGCGAAGAACCUUACCAAAUCUUGACAUCCUUUGACCGCUCUAGAGAUAGAGUCUUCCCCUUCGGGGGACAAAGUGACAGGUGGUGCAUGGUUGUCGUC
rnacentral:rRNA from 1 species